GCAGACCAGGCUGGGAGAUCAACCCCUUCUAAUCUGUUCUCCAAAGAGUAUCCAGAGACAUCAGGCUCAAGCUAGAUCUGGUCAUGGUAGCUGUGUUACAGCUCUGGAGGGAAAGGUAUUCUGGCUGUCAGAAGCCAAGUGAUAACAGCCAAAUGAUACAGGAAUGUAGCAGUUCUGUUCUCUCCGGGAGAGAGCACAGCUCAGCUCUGCUCUGCUAAGGGAGUUUCCCCGCAGAAAUGUAGCAAUUCUGCUCCGGCUCCAGCGAGAGCCAUCACAGCUCUGCUUUGCUAAAAGAGUUUUCCCUUCAGCAAAAGUCGUUCUCUGCCCUGCUCCACUCUGGUGAAAGAAGGUGGUCACCCAAACCUCGUUCAAGAGACUUCCUGGGAGGGAGGAAUCCAGGAGAGUGGCUGCCUCUGCCAGGAUGGAAAAAGGCAACCCCCAAACUGAACAGACCCAGGAGACAUAACCAUGUCUGACCUUAUUUCCAACCUCUUCAGCCAGGUCCUGGGCUUUCUCAAUGGCAUCCAAAGCCUGGAAGGUCCCCCCGGCUCCGGUGGAUAUCGGCAAAGCAGAGCAGACAGAGUGCCUGCAGUGGUCGGUCACCGUGCUGCAGAGCAAUCUUCAUGGAUUCCUGCAAGGGAGG